rnacentral:rRNA from 1 species
CGCCGGGCAGCUCACCGGAUAAGACAGCUGGAUGAUAGCCGGGCUGAAGACUCUGCUUGACUAGCUGAGAGGAGGUGCAUGGCCGUCGUCAGUUCGUACUGUGAAGCAUCCUGUUAAGUCAGGCAACGAGCGAGACCCACGCCAACAGUUGCCAGCAUGUCCUCCGGGAUGAUGGGGACACUGUUGGGACCGCCUCUGCUAAAGAGGAGGAAGGAAUGGGCAACGGUAGGUCAGCAUGCCCCGAAUUAUCCGGGCUACACGCGGGCUACAAUGGUCAGGACAAUGGGUAUCGACACCGAGAGGUGGAGGCAAUCUCCUAAACCUGUCCUUAGUUCGGAUUGUGGGCUGCAACUCGCCCACAUGAAGCUGGAAUCCGUAGUAAUCGCGUUUCAAAAUAGCGCGGUGAAUAUGUCCCUGCUCCUU